rnacentral:rRNA from 1 species
CCUACGGGAGGCAGCAGUGGGGAAUAUUGCACAAUGGGGGAAACCCUGAUGCAGCGACGCCGCGUGAGCGAUGAAGUAUUUAGGUAUGUAAAGCUCUAUCAGCAGGGAAGAAAAUGACGGUACCUGACUAAGCAGCCCCGGCUAACUACGUACCAGCAGCCGCGGUAAGACGUAGGGGGCAAGCGUUAUCCGGAUUUACUGGGUGUAAAGGGAGCGUAGACGGCGAGGCAAGUCAGAUGUGAAAGCCCGGCGCUCAACUCCGGGACUGCAUUUGAAACUGUGUGGCUAGAGUGUGGGAGAGGCAGGCGGAAUGCCUAGUGUAGCGGUGAAAUGCGUAGAUAUUAGGAGGAACACCGGUGGCGAAGGCGGCCUGCUGGACCAUGACUGACGUUGAGGCUCGAAAGCGUGGGGAGCGAACAGGAUUAGAUACCCGUGUAGUC